UGGAUGGAUGGGUAGAGGAGGAGGAGGACAGUUAGAGGAGAGAAGAGACACACAUUGUACAAAUACAUUAAAUACAAUAAGCUGUGAAAAUUUGAUAUCACACGACAGAAAUGCAACAAGAGAAGGAGGAGGAAGAACAGGAGGAGGAGGAAGAGGAGGAGGAGGAUCUGGAGGCUGGACUUCAGACGACAGCCAGUUGAAGCUGUCUGUACUAAAUCUGUCAGCUCCUCUCAGGGUUCUCUGGUUCCUGGUCUGGAUACUACAGUUCCAGGAGCCUCGGGAGGUUCAGAUCUUGGGUUUGAUCAUGGAGCCGUCCCUGAGAUGCAGGUGUUCCAUCUGGAUGCUCCUCAUCUGUGUGCAGGUGACCACCAUCUUCUGUCAGGGGGACAACAACAGAGAUAUGAUCAGUUUUAAGGGACAGAAAGGUGAGCCGGGAGAUAUUCCCUAUGUGGAGGGGCCACCAGGGCUGCCAGGACCUGCGGUAGGUAACAACCAUCAGGUUUUUGUGGUCACGUCUUGUCACAUGUCUGUGGCUGUACACUGAAUUCUUUUGGUUUCAGGGUCCUCCUGGAGGUCAGGGUCACGUCGGACCGCGGGGCUUUAAAGGCAGACGGG
rnacentral:lncRNA from 1 species